UACGUAGGGUGCAAGCGUUGUCCGGAAUUAUUGGGCGUAAAGAGCUCGUAGGCGGUUUGUCGCGUCUGCUGUGAAAACCCGAGGCUCAACCUCGGGCCUGCAGUGGGUACGGGCAGACUAGAGUGCGGUAGGGGAGAUUGGAAUUCCUGGUGUAGCGGUGGAAUGCGCAGAUAUCAGGAAGAACACCCGUGGCGAAGGCGGUUCUCUGGAACGCAACUGACGCUGAGACGCGAAAGCGUGGGGAGCAAACAGG
rnacentral:rRNA from 1 species